GAUGAACGCUGGCGGCGUGCCUAAUACAUGCAAGUCGAGCGAACAGAUGAGGAGCUUGCUCCUCUGACGUUAGCGGCGGACGGGUGAGUAACACGUGGAUAACCUACCUAUAAGACUGGGAUAACUUCGGGAGACCGGAGCUAAUACCGGAUAAUAUAUUGAACCGCAUGGUUCAAUAGUGAAAGACGGUUUUGCUGUCACUUAUAGAUGGAUCCGCGCCGCAUUAGCUAGUUGGUAAGGUAACGGCUUACCAAGGCAACGAUGCGUAGCCGACCUGAGAGGGUGAUCGGCCACACUGGAACUGAGACACGGUCCAGACUCCUACGGGAGGCAGCAGUAGGGAAUCUUCCGCAAAGGGCGAAAGCCUGACGGAGCAACGCCGCGUGAGUGAUGAAGGUCUUCGGAUCGUAAAACUCUGUUAUUAGGGAAGAACAAAUGUGUAAGUAACUAUGCACGUCUUGACGGUACCUAAUCAGAAAGCCACGGCUAACUACGUG
rnacentral:rRNA from 1 species